rnacentral:tRNA from 1 species
UAGAAUGAAGCUCGCUGGAUAGAGCAUUUAGCUGUUAACUAAAAUUUUGCGGGGUCAAGGCCUGCCUUUCUAG